rnacentral:lncRNA from 1 species
GAUAAACUGAAACAGUCAACGUCCCACAAUGGACUUGACAUAGGCACGUCGUCACUAGCACGAUACGGACAACUUUUUUCCUCUCUACACUCUACGCCAUCAUGUAUAUUAGUUAUAUAGAUGUCGCUCGUGUUAUUUUCAGGCCUAUGUACAGCAGGAGAUUUUUAUGUUAAUAAUUUAGAAUCCAUUUGUAUAUUAUCCGACAUGAUUUGCACAAACAUUUUUGUUUAUCUUCAACUGAAAUUAAUAUAAAAUCAUAUUAUAUAAUGUAAUCGUCAUAUAAAAGUGUAAUCGCGUAGCAUUAAUCAUAUCAGAUAGUAUAAACGAAUUUUUGUCGUGCAUUGAGGAUUCGAUCGUGGUUCGUAUCGUACCAUUGACCAAUCGUGCAAUUUUUUUCUUUUUUUUAUAUUUAAAAAAAUUUUUUUUUUCAUAUUGUUGCAUUAUUUUGUUGCAUGAUCGUGAUUCUUAAUGAAAUAUAAAUAGUGAUCUAUUUGUUAAAAGGAAUUAUGUUAAAAGGAAUUGAAAAAAGAAAUAUAGAUUGCAAAGUUCCAGUGUCUUGAAAGAUUCGCUAGAGAUUCCUUCGAGAAUUUUUUAUACAAAUUUUUCUCAAGAUACAAUGGAUUCUAAAAAUUAAAAAUUUUUUAAAUUUUAUUUUUAAAUUAAAAUGAAAACGUUAAAAAAGAGAAGAAAAGGAAAAUGAACAAUUUUAGCAAUUUUUAUAGCGUGAACAAUUACGAAUGAAGAUUACACAAAAAUGAAAGAAAACAAUACAGAUGUAGAAAAAAAAGGAUAGAAACAUGGAUGAUGGUAUUCAUUCCAAAGCGUUUUCAUUUUCACAAAAUUUAUGAUUGUUCUAUGUCUUGUGAAUUUGCCGUACCGAGACGGUGGUGGCUGUACAAGAAUUGGCUCGAUUCCGCAAGAAGGCUGAGCCCUCCCAUUUUCUCUUAAAUUGCGCUAUCACCUAAACAAAAAAACAAAAUAAAACGGCCACACAGAGACCCUGUAGAAAAAACAUCAAAAAUUUAAAAAUUUAUAAAUAAUAUUUAAUUUAAUAAUUAUUUAUUUCAAAUAUUUAUAAAAGAUUAAUUAACUUUAACAUUCAAUUUGAUAUAGUAUCCGAGAAAAUUGAGAGUUGAUUGUGAAAUAUAAGAAAAUGGUUAAAUAUAGUUUCUAUUGAAAAAUAUGUGAAAUUACCUGGAAAGAAGCUGUUAUAGCGGAAAGAACCUCAUAGAAAUGCUCCCAAGGAUGAUUUUUCGGUGGCCUGAAGGGUAUAACAAGAUAAUGUAAACCCAAAAGAGGUACAAGAAGUAAUGUUGCCCUAAUGAAAUGAAAAAUUGUUAUUUUUUUUUUAAUUAAACUAAAACAAAAUUAAAAAACAUUUAGAUAUGAAUUAAUAAAUAUUAAUUACCGAAAUGCUUGACGCAUAGAUCUUGAAGGUUGUGUACCAAUGCUAGGACCAGCUCUCAAUUUCAUUAAUAGAACUCGAACGAUAUUGAAGAGAAAAAGUACAUUCAAUAAGGUGGAAACGCAUACUGGAUAAACCAGUACGUUCAUGUAAUUACCCUCAUUGAUCCAACAUCUGAAAUCACCAUUAAAGAAUUAAUGUACGGGCCAACCAAGAAUCAUCAACCAUUUUACUAAUUUUUGUUCGCUUGUGAAUGCACUGACAAGCAGAGUAUGUAGAUAAAAACCUUCACACAACAUCCAUGCAUAAUUAGUAAGAAGAAAGUAAUGAAGAAUAAUAUGCAACAGCCGACAUGUCAUCUGAAAAAUUUACAAAGGCAUUAUUAUUCGAACGAUAUAUGGUGUGACUAAAUUCUCGUUCGAGUUACUGGGUCGAGUGUUAAGCAAAGAGUUAAGAUCUUCAUACAUACCCCAUUGUUCAACAGUAAAUCCGUAUUCGCUACGAUGCAUCUAUACCAUACCAGCCAUAGAGCAUUAUUUACAGCAAAAGAGGCGAACAGGUUCAUAUGAAGAGUGAUCCUUGCACACCUCAGGGAGCUAUUUCGAAGAAAUUCAUGGAAAAAGUAAUAAAAAAUCAGAAAAUAUAUCUUUUCAUAUAAAAUUUCUUUUCU